GAUGAACGCUGACGGCAUGCUUAACACAUCAGCGAUUGAUUGGUGGCGGACGGGUGAGUAACUCGUACAUAACUUACCUCCCAGCUAGGGACAACAUUUGUAAACGAAUGCUAAUACCUAAUAUUGUGAGAGAGCUUUGCGUCCCAUUAGCUAGUUGGGGAGGUAACUGCUCACCAAGGCGAUGAUGGUUAGCCGGCCUGAGAGGGUGAUCGGCCACAAGGUGCCUGAGACACGGCCAUUACUCAGACGGGAGGCAGCAGCGGGGAAUUGUGGACGCUAGACCAAAGACUGAUGAAGCAAUUCUGUGUGUAAGAUGAAGUUUUAGGAAAGAAAAGUGGUUUAAGUUGGGGAGCGGUACCAACAGAAGAAGUGACGGCUAACUACGUGCCAGCAGCCGCGGUAAUAC
rnacentral:rRNA from 1 species